rnacentral:rRNA from 1 species
UACGUAGGGACCAAGCGUUGUUCGGAUUUACUGGGCGUAAAGCGCGCGUAGGCGGCUUGGCAAGUCGGAUGUGAAAUCCCUCGGCUCAACCAAGGAAGUGCAUCCGAAACUGCUGAGCUUGAGUACUUAAGAGGAUCGCGGAAUUCCCGGUGUAGAGGUGAAAUUCGUAGAUAUCGGGAGGAACACCAGUGGCGAAGGCGGCGAUCUGGGAAGAUACUGACGCUGAGGUGCGAAAGCGUGGGGAGCAAACAGG